UAUUGAAAGGUGCUUGCAUCUUGAUUUAAUUUUGAACGAGUGGCGGACGGGUGAGUAACACGUGGGUAACCUGCCCUUAAGUGGGGGAUAACAUUUGGAAACAGAUGCUAAUACCGCAUAAAUCCAAGAACCGCAUGGUUCUUGGCUGAAAGAUGGCGUAAGCUAUCGCUUUUGGAUGGACCCGCGGCGUAUUAGCUAGUUGGUGAGGUAACGGCUCACCAAGGCAAUGAUACGUAGCCGAACUGAGAGGUUGAUCGGCCACAUUGGGACUGAGACACGGCCCAAACUCCUACGGGAGGCAGCAGUAGGGAAUCUUCCACAAUGGACGCAAGUCUGAUGGAGCAACGCCGCGUGAGUGAAGAAGGCUUUCGGGUCGUAAAACUCUGUUGUUGGAGAAGAAUGGUCGGCANANUAACUGUUGUCNGCGUGACGGUAUCCAACCANAAAGCCACNGCUAACUAC
rnacentral:rRNA from 2 species